AUCGGGGCGUGGUCGUUUGUAUCUGUAUAUAAGCCAGGACCGACAGACCAACAGUAUCACUUGAGACAGCAAUCCCAAGUUACUCUACAACCAUGUUCUUCAGACUGUUCGCCCUCUUCGCCGUGUUGGCCGUGGCUUUUGCCAACCCCAACCCCAAGCCUGAGCCCCAGGUGCUGACCUACUCCGCUGCCGCUGGCUACCCCUACGCCUACGCCCCCGUCGCCGCUGCCUACUCCGCUCCCUAUGCUGCCUACCCAUACGGCUACUCAGCAUACUACGUCCGCUGAUAAACCAAACAAUACCGAAAUACUUUGGCUUGCUCAAUGACUCUGAUUCCAAAACGUUUGAACAUGUUUUAAUAUAAGUUUUUUGUCGCAAA